UGACAGGUGCUGCAUGGCUGUCGUCAGCUCGUGUCGUGAGAUGUUGGGUUAAGUCCCGCAACGAGCCGCAACCCUCGCCUUUAGUUGCCAGCAUUCAGUUGGGUACUCUAGAGGGACUGCCGGUGUCAAACCGGGAGGAAGUGGGAUGACGUCAAGUCCUCAUGGCCUUUAUGUCUAGGGCUACACACGUACUACAAUGGCCGGUACAAAGGGCAGCCACUCAGCGAUGAGGCGCUAAUCCCAUAAAGCCGGUCUCAGUCCGGAUCGCAGUCUGCAACUCGACUGCGUGAAGUUGGAAUCGCUAGUAAUCGUAGAUCAGCAUGCUACGGUGAAUACGUUCCCGGGCCUU
rnacentral:rRNA from 1 species